rnacentral:miRNA from 1 species
AAAUGUGCCUCUCCCAAUCCCUGAGACCCUAACUUGUGACGUUGUGCUCUCAUGUCCACGGGUUAGGCUCUCGGGAGCUGGGAGUGGUGCGCUGUC